AGCGAACGCUGGCGGCAGGCUUAACACAUGCAAGUCGAACGGGCACCUUCGGGUGUCAGUGGCAGACGGGUGAGUAACACGUGGGAACGUGCCCUUUGGUUCGGAACAACUCCGGGAAACUGGAGCUAAUACCGGAUAAGCCCUUCGGGGGAAAGAUUUAUCGCCAAAGGAUCGGCCCGCGUCUGAUUAGCUAGUUGGUGAGGUAAUGGCUCACCAAGGCGACGAUCAGUAGCUGGUCUGAGAGGAUGAUCAGCCACACUGGGACUGAGACACGGCCCAGACUCCUACGGGAGGCUG
rnacentral:rRNA from 1 species